AGCGUUGUUCGGAAUUACUGGGCGUAAAGCGCACGUAGGCGGUUAUUCAAGUCAGAGGUGAAAGCCCGGAGCUCAACUCCGGAAUAGCCUUUGAAACUGGAAGACUUGAAUCUUGGAGAGGUCAGUGGAAUUCCGAGUGUAG
rnacentral:rRNA from 1 species